AUAUCAAUAAGCGGAGGAAAAGAAACCAACAGGGAUUGCCUUAGUAACGGCGAGUGAAGCGGCAAUAGCUCAAAUUUGAAAUCUGGCGUCAGCCCGAGUUGUAAUUUGUAGAGGAUGUUUCGGACAAGGUUUUGGUUUAAGUCCCUUGGAACAGGGCGUCAUAGAGGGUGAGAGUCCCGUCUAGAACCGUCUACCGCGUCUAUGUGAAACUCCUUCGACGAGUCGAGUUGUUUGGGAAUGCAGCUCUAAAUGGGAGGUAAAUUUCUUCUAAAGCUAAAUAUUGGCCAGAGACCGAUAGCGCACAAGUA
rnacentral:rRNA from 1 species